UCCUGAGUAGCUGGGACUAGAGGUGCCCGUCACCACGCCCGGCUAAUUUUCAUAUAUUUAGUAGAGACGUGGUUUCACCACGUUGGCCGGAUGGUCGCGAUCUCCUGACCUCGUGAUCCGCCCGCGUCAGCCUCCCAAAAUGCUGGGAUUGCAGGCGUGAGCCACCGCGCCCGGCCUACACUUUCUUACACCCACUCGGAGUUCGUCUGUGGAGAGCAGCCCCUGAGAAGCAGAUGCCAAGGGGAUAGGAGGGAAGAACACUUGUGAAAGAUGAAGGGGAAAAGAAGCAUGCUUCUGUGGAAAACACUUUCAAGUUCAUUAGAUCAAACUUGUUGAGAAUGGCUGACAUCUGAGAAUCAAACCAACACUCCUCAGCAUUGAGUCAAAAAGUCACAGAAGGCAAGAGAUCCUUAUCCUUCAAGGCAAGAGAGAUGGAGCUAUUGGAAUAUUCUUUUUCCUUGAUCAAAAUAUCCUUCAUCGGGGAAAUAUUCUCUUGCAAAAAUACCACAGCUGUCUGGUAAGCCAUUUAUGACACAGCCUUAAACCCUUUGAAGGUAAGUAACACAAUUUGAUGUAUAUAUUCAUUUGUCAUUUAUAAACUAUUUUAUAGUUGCCCUAUUUCCUCAAAAAGAGUACUGCUUCAUGGCAGAAAAUAUGUAAGCUCUUUCUCUCUUCUACAAUGCCUGGCAGAAUAUUGGAUAUUUGGAAACAUAAAUAUCUGUGUUUUGAAUACCUCAAUGUUGUAAUCUGUGAGACUCAUUCUAGAAAACCACUAAAGUGCUAUUUUGAUGAUUAUUGCAAUUUUAUUUGAAAGCAUUGCUAAAAUGGACUAAUUAUGAUAUUUUGGGAGUUUUUUUCUAAAUUGUUUUCUCAUUUCCCAUCUUCAUAAGAUGCAGUAUGACUAAAUAAUAUUCACGAUCCCAUUUUGAACAAGAAAAAUAAAAUGCAUCUUGGUGUUCAAUUAAAUUACAAAUGACUUCAAGGUGUCAAUGUCUUUUUGGUUCUAGAAAAGACUUUCAAAUUAUACUGCUUAACAAUGACAUUUAUAAAAUGCUUUAUAUUUUUCAAAAUGCCUUCACAUAAUGAAAUUGUUACUAGCAACUCAAGGUUGCUUUUGAUUCAAUAGAAGAAAUAUUUUGGUAAUGAAAUUUUGCCGCCUCAAAUGUGCAGAAAGCAAAACCAUCUAUUUUAUGCUGCAAAGCAAACCAGGCAUUUUCAAGAAUAGCUAGUAGUCUGACGCUUCUGAAAAAAAGUUACAUAGUACAGGUCUAGAGGGAGUUCUGGAGAACAUUCAAGAAGGGUCUGCAUUGAUUUCGAAAGCAUUAGAAUCCAUCUACUAAAGUCCAUAAUAGAAACUGAGUACUUAAAGCGUCUUUCAAGCCAACAUUUUCCUGCUAGAACAUAUUUUAUUUACAUUGUGAUCACUUCAGAGAACGAAAUAGUGGGUGACAUCAUUCAAAUAUCUCCUUAAAAACAAUUGUUGAUUUUUUCCCCAUAAGUCUACAUUAAAAAAAUUUAAAGAAACUUAAAAAUCUAUUGAAAGUUGAAGUGUUUAUUAUGGUGCUCUGAGCUUGAGUAACUAUAGGUAAAUUUAAAUGAUGUAAUUAUAGCAAUUAAGUGUGGAACUGGUAGGACAUUUCCAGUUUAUUAUAUGUCAUAUAGACAAAUUAAUCAUCACCCAGGAACUUGAAAUGCUGUAAGUGUUGAAUUUUAACAUAUUUUAAAUUGGUGUCUACCUUUAUAUUAGCAGAACUUAUAAUGCUUAAAGUAAACCACCCAGAUGUUUCAAAUGAUUACAUAAACAAAUAAUAUUCCAUAUUAUUAUGAUUUUUCCUGCUUGUAUAUGAUAUACUGUUGAUAAUGCAAUCCGUUAGGAAAAGACAAACGUUUCUAGCAUUGUUCUCCCAGAAUGUUUGAAGUAUUUCUGUUUGUGUGGAUAUGCACUGGACAAUCCAGGUACAUAAAUGAUCAAUGUUGUUCUUUAACAGAGAUCUAAGCCACUGGGGGAGAAUGGAUAGCCUGGUCUGGGGGCUGAUUUUAUGAAGAACUUCUAGGCGUAGAUACAAGAAGUGGGUUCAUAAGCAUCAAGCCCUGCAAGGCAUUGCACGAAUGAAUAAAAUGCCUUUUCAAAGUAGGUCCUCCAAAAGAUCUACCUAAAUGGUAAAGCAAGAGGUAGAAGUGUUAACACAAAUAAUCAGAUUUUGAUAAACAUAUAUGGCAAUGAUUAUUUUGCCAAGUCAGCAAUUCCCCAAAAUAUGGUGCCUUGACACGCUAAGUGCUUUGAAAAUUACAAGGGCUCAGAAAUAAACCCCAGGACCAUGGUCUCUCUAUGACCUUUCCUCUCUGCCCCUGUCUUUCUCAUCCUUUCUGAAAGGACUAGGAGAAGCUCCCUCUAGAAUUUUCACAUUUAAGAAAAUUUCUUUCCAAAAGAAAUGCAAUUAUAUUAAGCCACCCUCCCUAGGAAUCUCACCAAAUAACCAGGAAAGAUCAACCACCAAAGAAGAUAAAAGACUGGGGGUCUCCACCACGCUCAGACAGACUUUUUAAUCUAUCUUCUGUGAACAGCUCCAACAGACUACCUGAAAGACUUUAUCUGCAUAGUAAGACAACCUUUGUUCCAGUGAACCGUAUGGUCUGAAUAAUGGGCUGGUUCAUUUCCCCACUCUCCUUCUUCUGUGAAUAAGCCAUUUAAGCCUCAAUCAUCUGGUCCAUCUUUGAGUUCAUAAUUUAAACAAUUCCCAUGCAUGUGUGUGUACAUAAUAGUAAUAUAUUUGUUAUUUUUUCUCUUCUUAUCCUGCCUUUUGUUAUAAGAGUGUCAGCCAUGACUCUUUAUAAAGGGGAGAAAAGAAAUCACUCCAUUUGCAUCUAUAGAAAGCAUUAUAUGCAGUCUAGGGGUGAUUUAAAACAGUGGUCCCCAGUCUUUUCGGCACCAGGGACUGGUUUCAUGGAAGACAAUUCUUCCAUGGACUCAAGGGCAGGGGAUGCUUGGGGGAUGAUUCAAAAACAAUACAUUUAUUUUGGACUUUAAUUCUGUUAUUAUUGUAAUAUAUAAUGCAAUAAUUAUACAACUCACCAUAAUGUAGAAUCAGUGGGAUCCCUGAGCUUGUUUUCCUGGAAAUAGAUGUUCGCCAUCUUGGGCUGAUGGGAGAGAGUGACACCCGAAUUGUGUUGCUUAAUCCUGUUGUAGUUGCUGUCACUGCAGAAAACCCUGCUUCCCUAAGGUAGAAUUUUGGAAAUGGAAGCAGGCUUUUCAAUGCUUUUGUGUUAACUUCAGGAUAUGCCCCUGCCUUGACUUUAAUCCAGAAUGUAUGGAGACUUGAAGUUGUCUCAAACAUACUUUUAAGGUCAGUGUCAUUUGCAAGCUCAAGCAGUUGAUCCUCUUCCAGUGUGGACAAAGCCAAUUUACCUGUUUAAUUCACAAAUGGGUUGCGCAUCCACCAUUCCUUCCCAGUUUGGGGGUCUUUCGUGGUUGGGAAGUAAUGGUCAAACUCUUUUGAAAGCUGAGAUAUGUGAUCAUGCACCACCUGGGGGAAAGAAGGUCCUGGCUCAGUCUCUUUCAAAAAUCUUUGCUAAUGUUUGAAACAUGUCAGAAGUCCCAGUGUUCAUUCAUCACUACCAUAACACCACUUUGGCUUUGAAUGCAGCCACUUUAUCUGUUGACUUUAACAGAGUUGUCAUUCUCCCCUGAAAUGACAGAUUGAGUUUGUUGAGCAGGUUGAAUAUGUCACACAAGUAAGCAAGUUUUGCGACCCAUUCUGUGUCACUGAAAUGUGCUGCCAGUGGUGACUGUUUUUCUAAAAGAAAUCUCUGGAGCGACUCUUAUAACUCAAAAAUUCUGGCCAGUGAUCUACCUUUAGAAAGCCAUCUCACUUCUGUGUAUAAGAGAAGACGUGUGUGCUCUGCGUCCAUCUCCUCACAGAGCUGCACAAACAGACGUGAGUUAACAGCAUGUACUUUAAUGUGGUUGUUAAUUUUAAUCACAUCCUGAAAAACGUUAAGUUCAGGUGACAUUUUGUGGCUAGCCAACAUUUCUCUGUGGAUGACAGAGUGUGUAGACUUAGAUUCAGAAGCGACCUCUUUGACCCGAGUCAGAUUUCAGUGAUUAUCAUGUUGAAAUAUACAAUUACAUGAUAAUUCCUAUUGUUAAUAGAAAUGCUUAUGCAGUGAAAAGAUCUAUGAGCUGGAGUAUUUCUGUUUUAUUGUUUUCAAUCUAAAUAUUGUACGUUUAAUGUAUGAGAAGAACAUUAAACUCCCAUCACUUAAGCAUAAUAACUGCCUCAUGUAUCUAUAUAAUGUUUCAAAGACAUUUUUAGGCCAUUUAAGCUUUUUUUUUUUUUGAGACAGUUUCCUUCUGUUGCCCAGGCUGGAGGGCAGUGGCGCGGUCUUAGUGCACUAAAACCUCCGUCUCUUGGGUUCAAGCGAUUCUGCUGCCUCAGCCUCCGGAGUAGCUGGGAUUAUAGGCACCCACCACAACACCUGGUUGAUUUUUGUAUUUUUAAUAGAGAUGGAGUUUCACUAUGUUGGCCAGCUUGGUCUCGAAUUCCUGACCUCAGACAAUCUGCCCUCCUCGGCCUCCCAAAGUGCUGGGAUUACAGACUUGAGCUACCGCGCCUGGCUUAAGCUUUUUAAUUUAUAAUAAAUAUCCACUGAAAGAUUUAUAAUAAAUAUCCACUGAAAGAUUUCCUGUUAAAUUUAGUGCAAUAUUUUAAGUGAUCGGCAGAACUUUAUUUUUUAUUUUUUUUUAACUUUUAUUUUAAGUUCAGGGGUGCAAGUGCAGAUUUGUUACAUAGGUAAAAUGUGUCAUAGGGGUUUCCUGCACAGAUUAUUUCAUCAUCUGUGUAUUAAGCCUAGUACCCGUUAGUUAUUUUUUUUUUUUUUAUCCUUUCUUUCCUUCCACCUUCCACCCUCUGAAUGGCCCCAGGGUGUGUUGUUCCCCUCUGUGUGUCCAUGUGUUCUCAUCAUUUAGCUCCCACUUAAAAGUGAGAACAUGUAGUAUUUGGUUUUCUGUUUCUGAGUUAGUUUGCUAGAGAUAAUCGUCUCCAGCUCCAUCCAUCUCCCUGCAGAGGACGUGAUCUUGUUCUUUUUAUGGCUGCAUGGUAGUCCAUGGUGAAUAGGUACCACAUUUUCUUUAUUCAGUCUAUCAUUGAUGGGCAUUUAGGUUGAUUCUGUCUUUGCUAUUGUGAUUAGUGCUACAGUGAACAUGCAUGUGCAUGUAUCUUUAUAAUAGAAUGAAUUAUAUUCCUUUGGGUGUAUAGCCAGUAAUGGGAUUGUGGGGUUCCAUUUGAGCAAUCGCCACACUGUCUUCCAUAAUGGCUGAACAAAUUUUCACUCUUACCAAUAGUGUAUAAGCAUUCUUUUUCUCCAUAACCUUGCCAGCAUCUAUGUUUUUGAUUUUUGUUUUCUUUUGACAUUUUAUUAAUAACCAUUCUGACUGAUUGAGAUAGUAUCUCAUUGUGGUUUGUAUUUGCAUUUCUCUAAUGAUCAGUGAUAUUGAGCUUUUCUUCAUAAGAUUGUUGACUAAAUGUAUCUCUUCUUUUGAAGAGUGUCUGUUCAUGUCCUCUGCCCACUUUUUUUAUGAGGUCAUUCUCUCAUUCUGUUGGUUGUCUUACUCUGUUGAUAGCUUCUUUUGAUUUGCAGAAGCUCUUUAGUUUAAUUACAUACCAUUUGUCAGUAUUUGGUUUUGUUGCAUUUGCUUUUGGCAUUUCAUUAUAAAAUCUUUGCCCAUGCCUAUGACCUGAAUGGUAUUGCCUAGGUUGUCUUCCAGGGUUUUUAUAGUAUGGGGUUUUACAUUUACAUCUUUAAUUAAUCUUGAGUUGAUUUUUGUAUAUGGUGUAAGGAGGGGUCCAGUUCAGUCUUCUGCAUAUGGUUAGCCAGUUAUCCAAGCACCAUUUAUUGAAUAGGAAAUCAUUUACCCCAUUGCUUUGUCAGGUUUGUUGAAGAUUAGAAAGUUGCAGGUGUGCAGUCUUAUUCCUGGGUUCUCUAUUCUAUUUCAUUCGUCUGCGUCUCUUUUUAUAUCAGUACCAUGCUGCUUUGGUUAUUGUAGCCCUAUAGUAUAGUUAGAUAUCAGGUAACAUGAUGUCUCCAGUUUUGCUAGAAUUGCCCUGGCUAUUUCAGCUCUUUUUUUUGUUCCAUAUGAAUUUUGAAAUAGUUUUUUUUUUUCAGUGAAGAAUGUCAUUGAUAGCUGGAUAGGAAUAGCAUUGAUUCUGUGAAUUGCUUUGAGCAGUAUGAUGAUUUUAAUUAUACUGAUUCUUCAUAUCCAUGAGCAUGAAAUGUUUUUCCAGUUGUUUGUGUCAUCUCUGAAUUCCUUGCACAUAGAUUCACAGCUGAAUUCUACCAGAUGUACAAAGAACAGCUGGUACCAUUCCUACUGAAACUAUUCCAGAAAAUUGAGGAGGAGAGACUCCUCUGUAACUCAUUCUAUGAGGCCAGCAUCAUCUUGAUACCAAAGCCUGGCAGAGAUAGAACAAAAACAGAAAACUUCAGGCUAAUGUCUUUGAUAAAUGUCAGUGCAAAAAUCAUCAACAAAAUACUGGCAAACGAAAUCUAGCAGCACAUCAAAAAGCUAAUCCACUACAAUCAAGUAGACUUCAUCCCCACGAUGCAAGUUUGGUUCAACACAUGCAAAUCAAUAAAUGUGAUUCAUUACAUAAACAGAACUGAAGGCAAAAACCACAUGAUUACCUCAAUAGAAACAGAAAGGACUUUCAAUAAAGCUCAACAACCAUUUAGGUUAAAAACUCUCAAUUAACUAGGUAUUGAAGGAACAUGCUUCAAAAUAAUAAGAGCCAUCUAUGACAAACCCAUAGCCAACAUCAUACCAAAUGGGUAAAAGGUGGAAGCAUUCCCUUUGAAAAAUGGCACAAAACUAGGAUACACUGUCUCACCACUCCUAUUUAACAUAGUAUUGGAAGUCCUGGCCAGGGCAAUUAGGCAAGAUAAAGAAAUAAAGGCAUCCAAAUAAGAAGAGAGAAAGUCAAAUUACCCAUGUUUACAAAUACCAGAUCCUAUAUCUAGAAAACCCCAUAUUCUUGGCCCAGAAGCUCCUUAAGUUGAUAAACAACUUCAGCAAAGUCUCAGGAUACAAAAUCAAUGUGCAAAAAUAAAAAUCACUAACAUUCCUAUACACCAACCACAGUAAAACCGAGAAUCAAAUCAGAAAUAAACUUUCAUUCACAGUUGCCACACACACACACACAAAAAAACAGCAACAACAACAACAAAGCACCUAGGAACACAGCUAACUAGGGAGGUGAAAGAUCUCUACAAGGAGAACUACAAACUACUGCUGAGAUAAUUUUAUUUUAAAUUUAAUAAGAAUUAUCGCUAAAUUUUAUUCUUUAGCAGAACAUUUAAAAUAACAUUUCAAUUUGGUAUCUGCUAUUGUUGUUAAUCUUAGGAUGCUUUCUUCUAUGCUACAAAAUUACUCAAAGUAAUAUUUGUGUGAGAAUAUAGGCCAGUAGAACAUUUAUUUAUUCAUUCAUUCAUUCUUUAGCUCAUUGACUUGAUAUGUACUAUGCUAUAGGUACUUGGCUAGACUGAGGAUGUAGAGAUGAAGACACACACCUUUCCCCAUAAGAUGGUGAAGUAGAGGGCUGAGAACAGACAUUUAAACCUACCAUGGGGUAAGCAUCAUAACACCCUCUCUCUGUCUUGCCCUCAUUAGCCUGGGCCUUUUGUGGCAUAAGUGACUUCUGUUGUGUAGAUGAAGUCAGUCCAAAGCUCCUUGGAACUUGGGCCAGAAUGUUGUGAGUUUGAAUGCUGCUUGCCACUUUCAGAUGUGUAACAUUGGAUAAGUUUCUUUAUUUCUCUUAUCUCCUCAAGUGUAAAGUCUGGGUAAUAUACCCUUGUAAAAAUCAUAAUAUUGAACCUAAGGAGUUUAACACAUUCAUUUAACACAUUCAUAAAUUAGAUUAAGAACUCAAAACAAGUUGACUACUAAUACAAUUAUUAUAAUUGCUAAACUUUAGUCUUCCUACAUUUUUCUCUGUUAUCUCACAUUUAAUCUGUUAAUAUGUCUCUAUCUGUCUCUACUUAAUUUUAGUGUUGUAAGAACCAGAUAAUAGUCAAUGCUGGUUUUUCCUCACCUUUGUGGAUCUUUGAAGAACAUGACAAAAACAAGCAAUGUGGAAAGAAUUCCCUAAUGAAUAACUGUUUUUGGGAAAACUGACUACCCAUAUGCAGAAAACUGAAACUGGACCCCUUCCUUGCACCUUAUACAAAAAUUAACUCAAGAUGGAUUAAAGACUUAAACGUAAGACCUAAAGCCAUAAAAACCCUAGAAGAAAACCUAGCAAUACCAUUCAGGACAUAGGCAUGGGCAAAGACUUCAUGACUAAAACACCAAAAGGAAGGGCAACAAAUGUCAAAAUAGACAAAUGGGAUCUAAUUAAACUAAAAAAACUUCUGCACAGCCAAAGAAACUAUCAUCAGAGUAAACAGGCAGCCUACAGAGUGGGAGAAAAUUUUUGCAAUCUAUCAAUCUGACACAGGGCUAAUAUCCAGAAUCUACAAGGAACUUAAACAAAGUUACAAGAAAAUAACAAACAACCACGUCAAAAAGUGGGCAAAGGAUAUGAACAGACACUUCUCAAAGGAAGACAUUUAUGCGGUCAACAAACACAGGAAAAAAGUCUCAUCAUCUCUGGCCAUUAGAGAAAUGCAAAUCAAAACCACAAUGUGAUAGCAUCUCACACCAGUUAGAAUGGCGGUCAUUAAAAAGUCAGGAAACAGAUGUGGAGAGGAUGUGAAGAAAUAGGAACACUUUUACACUGUUGGAGGGAGUGUAAAUUAGUUCAACCAUCGUGGAAGACAGUGUAGCAAUUCCUCAAGGAUCUUGAACCAGAAACACCAUUUGACCCAGCAAUCCCGUUACUGUGUAUAUACCAAAAGGACUAUAAAUCAUUCUACUAUAAAGACACGUGUACGUGUAUGUUUAUGGCAGCACUGUUCACAAUAGCAAAGACUUGAAACCAACCCAAAUGACCAUCAAUUAUAGACUGGAUAAGGAAAAUAUGGCACAUAUACACCAUGGAAUACUAUGCAGCCAUAAAAAAAGAGAUGAGUUCAUGUCCUUUGCAGGGACAUGGAUGAAGUUGGAAACCAUCAUUCUCAGCAAACUAACACAGGAACAGAAAACCGAACACCGCAUGUUCUCACUCAUAAGUGAGAAUUGAACAAUGAGAACAUAUGGACAGAGGGAGGGGAACAUCACACACUAGGGCUUGUCAGAGGCUAAGGCCUAGGGGAGGGAUAGUGUUAAGAGAAUUACACAAUAUAGAUGAUGGGUUGAUGGGUGCAGCAAACCACCAUGGAACAUGUAUACCUAUGUAACAAACCUGCACAUUCUGCACAUGUAUCCCAGAACUUAAAGUAUAAUAAUAAAAAAAUACAGAAAAAAAUAGUCAAUGCAACAACUUGGAUUUUGUUUCCUGUUUAGAAGGUUUUUUUUUUCCUUUGUACUGAGAAAAUUGAAGAAGUAUUGGCUUAUAGUCUAAACCUAGAAAAGACUACACUUCACCUGAAAAACUGCCAGCCAAGGCCUUCAUAUCUAGUGAUUUGACUAUGGUUCAAUUAUUAACACAGAAAGGAAGAAACUAACAAAAUCCAGUGUCUUAAUAAAGCAAUACAUCACUGUCAAAUAGCAUAUGGAGAACCACACCAAUAAG
rnacentral:lncRNA from 1 species